rnacentral:rRNA from 1 species
GAUGAACGCUAGCUACAGGCUUAACACAUGCAAGUCGAGGGGCAGCGCAGUGUAGCAAUACAUGGGCGGCGACCGGCGCACGGGUGCGUAACGCGUAUCCAAACUUCCCGUUACUCAGGGAUAGCCUUCCGAAAGGGAGAUUAAUACCUGAUGGUGUUCAAAUUCCGCAUGUUAUUUGAACUAAAGCUUUAUCGGUAACGGAUGGGGAUGCGUGACAUUAGGUAGAUGGCGGGGUAACGGCCCACCAUGCCCACGAUGUCUAGGGGUUCUGAGAGGAAGGUCCCCCACACUGGAACUGAGACACGGUCCAGACUCCUACGGGAGGCAGCAGUGAGGAAUAUUGGUCAAUGGUCGGAAGACUGAACCAGCCAAGUAGCGUGAAGGAUGAAGGUUCUAUGGAUUGUAAACUUCUUUUAUACGGGAAUAAAACCACCUACGUGUAGGUGCUUGUAUGUACCGUAUGAAUAAGCAUCGGCUAACUCCGUGCCAGCAGCCGCCGUAAAAC